rnacentral:misc_RNA from 1 species
GCGAAUUCCUCGUUUUGCUCAACUUACCAGUACCAUGUUUGGGCUCUUCUAUUGUGGAUAUCUCCCUUGUUUCUGGGUUAAGUUGAGAUGUGGUUUGGCGGUACCAGCUCUUAACACUAGACUGGGAGCAUCAUGGCCUAUCAUUCUUGGAGGCCCAACUCAGUGGACCGUGGGGCUUGUGGCAACCUUAAUUUCAAUCAGUAGUAUCAUUGCAGCAGAUACAUUUGCUUUUGUUGGAGGCAAGGCUUUUGGUCGGACACCACUUACUAAUAUCAGCCCAAAGAAAACUUGGGAGGGAGCUCUUGCAGGCUUAGGAGGUUGUAUAGCCACUUCUGUGGUGUUAUCACGAACGUUCUGUUGGCCUAUAUCCACAUUAAGUGCGGUAGCUUUUGGAUUUCUGAACUUUUUUGGAUCUCUCUUUGGUGACCUCACUGAGUCGAUGAUCAAACGUGAUGCGG